rnacentral:rRNA from 1 species
GAGUUUGAUCUUGGCUCAGAUUGAACGCUGGCGGCAUGCCUUACACAUGCAAGUCGAACGGCAGCACGGGAGCUUGCUCCUGGUGGCGAGUGGCGAACGGGUGAGUAAUGCAUCGGAACGUAUCCUGGAGUGGGGGAUAACGUAGCGAAAGUUACGCUAAUACCGCAUAUUCUGUGAGCAGGAAAGCGGGGGACCUUCGGGCCUCGCGCUCUUGGAGCGGCCGAUGUUGGAUUAGCUAGUUGGUGAGGUAAAGGCUCACCAAGGCGACGAUCCGUAGCAGGUCUGAGAGGAUGAUCUGCCACACUGGAACUGAGACACGGUCCAGACUCCUACGGGAGGCAGCAGUGGGGAAUUUUGGACAAUGGGGGCAACCCUGAUCCAGCCAUGCCGCGUGAGUGAAGAAGGCCUCGGUUGUAA